UCAAGUACCUUUUCCAAAGAAGCAGAAAAGUACGAAACCUGCCACCUGGUCCGACUCCUCUUCCUAUAAUCGGCAACCUUAACCUCGUUGAACAACCUAUACACCGUUUCUUCCACCGCAUGUCCCAAAAAUAUGGAAACAUCAUAUCCCUUUGGUUUGGGUCACGUCUUGUUGUGGUUGUUUCAUCACCCACAGCGUACCAAGAAUGUUUCACUAAACAUGAUGUUACCUUGGCCAACAGGGUACGCUCCCUCUCGGGAAAAUACAUAUUCUACGACAACACCACCGUAGGGUCUUGCUCCCACGGCGAGCACUGGCGCAACCUCCGCCGCAUAACCUCUCUCGACGUUCUAUCGACGCAGCGCGUCCACUCCUUCUCCGGAAUCCGGAGCGACGAGACGAAAAGGUUGAUACACAGGCUGGCCAGGGACUCCGGGAAAGAUUUUGCGCGCGUGGAGAUGACCUCCAAGUUUGCUGACUUGACGUACAACAACAUCAUGAGGAUGAUUUCGGGGAAGCGGUUUUACGGAGAAGAGAGUGAACUUAACAACGUUGAGGAAGCGAAGGAGUUCAGAGACACUGUGAAUGAGAUGCUGCAACUCAUGGGGUUGGCUAACAAGGGAGAUCACUUACCUUUCCUAAGGUGGUUCGAUUUUCAGAACGUGGAGAAGAGGUUGAAGAAUAUCAGUAAGAGGUAUGAUACCAUCUUGAAUAAGAUCCUUGAUGAGAACCGUAACAACAAGGACCGCGAGAAUUCCAUGAUUGGUCAUCUCCUCAAACUGCAAGAGACACAGCCUGACUAUUAUACCGACCAAAUCAUCAAAGGACUUGCUUUGGUAAUCAUUUUUAUGUAUUUUUUUCACUCCUUGUUGUGUUAUAUGUACUUAUGUCUUAACUAGCUAGUAGUAACGGAUUAAAAUAAAAUAAAAUGUCUUACCUAGUAAAGAGAAAGCUAUAUGUAAACUAAAUGUAUUUUCACUUUAUAUGAUGAACUUUUUGGAUUACAGGCUAUGCUCUUUGGCGGAACAGACUCGUCAACUGGAACUUUAGAGUGGGCAUUAUCUAAUUUAGUGAAUGACCCAGAGGUGCUGCAGAAGGCAAGAGAUGAGUUGGACGCUCAAGUAGGACCAGAUCGGCUGUUAAAUGAGUCAGACCUUCCAAAACUUCCUUAUCUCAGGAAGAUAGUCCUUGAAACACUUAGGUUGUACCCUCCGGCUCCAAUUCUAAUACCACACGUGGCUUCAGAAGACAUCAAUAUCGAAGGAUUCAAUGUUCCACGAGACACAAUUGUGAUUAUUAAUGGUUGGGCCAUGCAAAGAGAUCCUAAGAUAUGGAAAGAUGCGACAAGCUUUAAACCUGAGAGGUUUGAUGAAGAAGGAGAGGAGAAGAAGUUGGUAGCAUUUGGUAUGGGAAGAAGGGCUUGCCCAGGAGAACCCAUGGCUAUGCAAAGUGUUAGCUAUACUUUGGGAUUAAUGAUUCAAUGUUUUGACUGGAAACGAGUAAGUGAGAAGAAGCUUGAUAUGACAGAGAAUAAUUGGAUCACCUUGUCAAGGUUAAUUCCAUUGGAGGCUAUGUGUAAAGCCCGCCCACUCGCCAGCAAAGUUGGAAGUUAUUAACAAUAUUUUAUUUGGUAUAUUUGGGUGAGGAUCUAAUACUCAUAAUUUCGGUGUGUAAGUCUAUGCAUGUUAAAAUUAAUAAUAUUUGUCGUAUGUCCACAAGGCCAAAUGUAGUACUGGGUGUGGACUUGCAUAUACAAUAUCAAUAUUGUAUAAAUCCCAGUUUCCUUGAAUAAAUUUCUUUACUUUCUAUUGUUAUGAAUCCCAGUACUUUUUAAAAAGAGAUGUUACCUUUAAUUUCUUGCAUUAUUAAUGUCGUUUAGAUGAAUAAAACAAACCAUUAUCUAUAUAGUAAGAGAGCCAACAUAUAUAGUUCUUGUGAUUAUUGCAGUAAAUGACGGGUAAAAACUUGAUUAUUGCGCUGUAUACGAGUUGCUUAAGUUUGGAUGAAUAGAUCCAUGUUUCGCCUAUGGUAAUAGAUAGAAAAGCUCCUUAGGUGUCACGAAGAUAAAAGAGAAGAAAAGCUCCUUGAGUUGCAUUUAAUGAUGAUUAUCUCAAUUCCCUGAGUUUUUGUUAAGUUGUCACCAUUUUUAUGUUUCAAUAAAAAAAAAAAAUAGGACUUCAAAGUGUUUAAUGUGUGGUUUAAAAUUUUACCUAUUCAGUUAAUUGCAUAUAAAGAUUUAUGCAAAAUAAAAUAUUAUUGCCAACAUUUAUAAAAUUGUUAUCUAUUCUAUUUUAGGUAUCAAUUUUCUAAAUUGGAGUGCUUGACAUUGUCUAAACACCUGUUAAAGUUUUAAUGACAACAAACUAACCAAGAACAAAUUCUAAGUCUUCUAGACUUAAGCUGCUAUUUGAGCUUGUGAAUGUUAAGCGAGACUUGACUAAAAAGUAUGAAGAAAGGUGUAAAGCUUGUUUGUUCAUUUAUUACAUGUUCUAGAGGUUGGGAUUUUGUGACAAAUGGAUAAAGUGGAUCAAGCUUGUUUGGAAUCUUUAAGAGUCUCGGUGUUGGUGAACAAAAAUCCUACACAAGAGUUUAGCCCUCAAAGAGGUCUCUGACAAGUGUUAACGGCUUGACAAGUGUACCAAAUGUCCAAGUAGUAAAGACUCGAAAAUCUGAGUGGCGAUUUUUAUAGGGACUUUAUUUUGUACUUGUGUUGGAUUAUUUCCAAUUUGUAAGAGAAAAGAUGAGAUAAGGUAAAAGAAAAGAUGAAUUUAAAAGAAACAAUAACUAAAAUAAUAGAUAAAAAGAGACAAAAGAUAUAAAAGGGAAUUCAAUGGGAUGAGAAUGUUAGAACCUAACAUGUCUUAUUUACCUAAGAUGUAUUAUUUGUGAUUUUUCUCUAUCAAUCAGGUAAAUUUAUCCUAUCUACAUCUAUGAGAAUUCUUGCCCCUGAUGUCUUUGCAAAGAGUUAAUAGAUAAAAUGCAUGAAGUUUUAAUUCUAGAUGCUUGCUUUGAUGCAUGGGCAUAAUGCAAUCACUCUAUGUCUAGCAAUGAUUUUAUUAACAUACUCAUUUCUUUUAGUUUUAUUAUAAAUUACCCUCUGUCGAGCACCUAACCUCCAAAGAUGAUGCAAUGAUGAAUGAUGCAUGAAAUUAAAAGUAAGAAAGGAUAAUAUGAAAGAAAAUACCUGUUUGCAUUAAUAAAUAUGAAGUGUAAAAUACAUCUUUUAGUUUUUUAAGCUUGUUAAGUCCUAACUAAGGAUUUAGCCUCUCAUAGCUAUAAGGGGCCUUAUACUAAAAAAGGGGUAUAGGAACUGAUGGAGGAGAAGAGAUGGAAAAAGGGAACAGAAAAUUAUGAAAGAGAAAAAAGAAUUUCUUAAGGGAGAGUCCUCAGGCAGACUUUAGGUGUGUAUUAGAGUGCUCUGAGAUUUGGUGUGUCUUUUCUCCUUAACUUGACUCCUUUUUUAUAGUUGUUGGAGUGGACUUGGGCUUGACUCCCUUUUUAUAGUUGCUGGAGUAGACUUGGGCCUGGUGUAAAAAAUCUUCCUUAUUUAUAUUUUUGAAAUCCUGCCUAGGUUAGCUUUGCUAUUCUUAGCCGGUCCCAAGCCCGGAUAAAAGGAGAGGGUUGUGUUAGGCUUUCGACAGCCAACGUAAAACUUUGUCGAAUCUCUAUGACAUGGAUCAAUUACGUAAUAAUGUGAAUGCUAGGUCGUUGCCCGGAAGCAACGCGCUGUAUGGCUCGAGUACAGUGUCAAAAGAGCAAGGGCCGCUGCAUCACCGCCAAGAUGUAGUGAAAAGUAAGCAAGGGUUCCCACAUUUUCGUGAACGGGUGUGGGUAAAGAAGCUAGUUCAUGACAGGAGGAUUCGCUUCGGUACAUGGAAUAUAGGCACACUUACUGGAAAAUCUAUGGAAAUAGUGGAUGCUAUGGUGAGGAGGAAGAUCAAUUUUAUGUGCCUACAAGAAACUAAGUGGACAGGUGAAAAAGCGAAAGAAUUAGACAACUCGGGAUUUAAGCUAUGGUAUACGGGAAAAAUCAGAUCAAGAAAUGGGAUAGGGAUUAUUGUGGACAAGGAGUGGAAGAAGGAUGUCGUAGAUGUAAGAAGAGUAGGAGAUCGUAUCAUAGCCUUAAAAUUGGUAGUGGCACAGGACACCUUUAAUGUCAUUAGUGGGUACGCACCUCAGGUUGGGUUAGCAGAACACUUUAAGGUAAAAUUUUGGGAGGAUCUAGAAGGGGUACUUCAGGAUAUACCCCAAGGAGAGAAAGUUUUCCUAGGAGGGGAUGUCAAUGGACAUGUAGGUAGCGUGGAUAGAGGUUUUGAGGGGGUGCAUGGGGGUUUUGGCCUAGGGGAGAUGAAUGGGGAGGGUAAAUCCAUCUUGGAGUUUUCAGAGGCUUUGGAUCUUUCUAUAGCCAAUACAUGGUUUAAGAAAAGAGAGGAACAUCUUAUCACUUACAAAAGUGGAGGGACAUGUUCUCAGAUAGAUUUCUUCCUUAUCAGGAAGUCUGAUAGGAAGUAUUGCUUGAACUGUAAAGUUAUCCCGGGAGAGAGCUUGACUACCCAACAUAGAGUUUUGGUUAUGGAUGUAAGAAUUAGAGAUAGGGCAAAGAGAAGAAGUCCUAUGGUAGCACCAAGGAUCAAAUGGUGGCACUUGAAGGGUGAGAAACAAGGAAUCUUCCAACAAAAGAUAUGGGAGGGAUGGUGUGGACAAUCACAAGGAAGUGCAAAUGAUAUGUGGAACAAGACGUCCCAAGAGAUUAUUAAAGUGGCUAAAGAGACGUUGGGUGAAUCUAGAGGUUUUGGACCUAGGGGUAAAGAAUCGUGGUGGUGGAAUGAAAGUGUUCAGAGCAAAGUUAGAGUAAAAAAGGAGUGUUUCAAGGAGUGGUCUAGGUGUAGAAAUUCUGAAACUUGGGAUAAGUAUAAGAUAGCUAGAAAUGAAACCAAAAAGGAGGUGAGUGAGGCAAGAGCCCAAGCUUUUGACGGACUAUACCAAGCUCUAGGAACCAGGGACGGAGAAAGAUCUAUAUAUAGGCUUGCUAAGGGUAGAGAGAGGAAGACUAGAGAUUUGGAUCACGUAAAGUGUGUUAAGGAUGAAGAAGGCAAAGUCUUAGUGCAUGAAAAAGAUAUCAAGGAAAGGUGGAAGGUGUAUUUCCACAACUUAUUUAAUGAUGGAUAUGGAUAUGACUCUAGCAGUCUAGACACAAGAGAAGAGGACCGGAACUAUAAGUAUUAUCGUCGGAUUCAGAAACAGGAAGUAAAGGAAGCGUUGAAAAGAAUGAGUAACGGUAAGGCGGUGGGGCCAGACAACAUACCUAUUGAAGUGUGGAAAAAUCUUGGAGAUAAAGGUCUUGAGUGGCUCACCAAACUCUUUAAUGAAAUUAUGAGGUCAAAACGCAUGCCGGAGGAAUGGAGGAGAAGCACGUUAGUGCCAAUCUAUAAGAACAAGGGGGAUAUACAAAAUUGUGCAAAUUAUAGGGGAAUCAAGCUCAUGAGUCAUACCAUGAAAUUAUGGGAAAGAGUGAUCGAACGAAGAUUAAGAAAGGAGACUCAAGUUACUGAGAAUCAAUUUGGUUUCAUGCCGGGAAGGUCAACCAUGGAAGCGAUUUAUUUAUUACGGCGGGUGAUGGAGCAAUAUCGCAUGGACCAACAAGACUUGCACUUGAUUUUUAUUGACUUGGAGAAAGCGUAUGAUAGAGUGCCUAGAGAGAUUUUGUGAAAAGCUCUAGAGAAGAAAGGGGUUAAGGUUGCAUAUAUUCGAGCUAUCCAAGAUAUGUAUGAUAGGGUAUCGACUAGUGUUAGGACACAGGGUGGAGAGUCAGACGAUUUUCCCAUCACAAUUGGUUUGCAUCAAGGGUCAACCCUUAGCCCCUACCUUUUUACCUUAAUUCUGGAUGUCCUCACGGAACAAAUUCAAGAGAUAGCGCCGAGAUGCAUGCUUUUUGCAGAUGACAUAGUCCUCCUUGGAGAGUCGAGGGAGGAGUUGAAUGAGAGGUUGGAAACUUGGAGACGAGCUCUAGAAACACAUGGCUUUCGCCUAAGCAGAAGCAAAUCGGAGUAUAUGGAAUGUAAGUUCAACAAAAGUAGGAGGGUAUCUAACUCAGAGGUGAAAAUAGGAGACCAUAUUAUCUCUCAAGUCACACGGUUUAAAUAUCUUGGGUCUGUAAUACAGGAUGAUGGAGAAAUUGAAGGGGAUGUGAAUCAUCGCAUUCAAGCAGGAUGGAUGAAAUGGAGAAAAGCAUCGGGGGUGUUAUGUGAUGCAAAGGUACCGAUCAAGCUAAAGGGAAAGUUUUAUCGGACUGCGUAAGACCGGCGAUUUUGUACGGAACAGAAUGUUGGGCGGUCAAGAGCCAACAUGAGACUAAAGUAGGUGUAGUGGAGAUGAGGAUGUUGAGGUGGAUGUGUGGUAAGACUCGACAGGAUAAAAUUAGAAACGGAGCUAUUAGAGAGAGGGUUGGAGUAGCGCCUAUUGUAGAGAAGAUGGUGGAAAAUAGACUUAGGUGGUUUGGGCAUGUAGAGAGAAGACCGGUAGACUCUGUAGUGAGAAGAGUAGAUCAGAUGGAGAGAAGGCAAACAAUUCGAGGCAGAGGAAGACCCAAAAAGACUAUAAGAGAGGUUAUCAAGAAGGAUCUCGAACUUAAUGAUUUGGAUAGAAGUAUGGUACUUGAUAGAACAUUAUGGCGGAAGUUGAUCCAUGUAGCCGACCCCACCUAGUGGGAUAAGGCGUUGUUGUUGUUGUUGUAUUUAUAUUUUUGAUAUUUUCUAGAUCUUUUUUGCUUUUAAUUUCUCUUUUUCAUAUCUGCAAGUCAUAAAUAAGAAAAAUAUCAAUUUCUAAUAUUUAAGUAAAAAAUAACUACUAAAUAAAUAUUUUUAAAGACAUUUUCAAUAUAUUUUAUUAUAAAAAAUAACUCAUAUUUAACAGUUAUCAACAAGGUGACCUAAUUGCACAUUUUUUCCCUUGUGGUAGUUGAAGGUCUUGUGGGUCUUAUGAGACAAGCUUCGGUUGCAUAGCUUUUCUCUGACUUUUUGGUUGAGAGGAAAAAAGUGGAAAUUUCCUUGUUACAAUUCGUUGAUGACACAGUAGUCUUCUUUGCACAAUCGACCAUGGAAAAUGUGAGAUGAAUAAAGUGUAUACUUAGGUUCUUCGAAUUGGCUUUUGGGUUAAAUAUCAACUUUCAAAAGGCAAGUUGGCAACCUUAAUUAGGUAUAAGUGGGCACUUUGAAUCUUUGGCUGCAAUUUUUCUCAAUUGUAGGAUCAUGGACGUGCCCUUCAUGUAUCUAGGAAUCCUGAUUGAAGCAAAUCCUAGAAAGCAAGCUACAUGGGAGCCUAUCUUGGCCAAGCUUCGAUCCAAGUUAUUGGUGUGGAAGCAUAAAUUCUUAUCUCUCGGUGGUAAGGUUUGUUUAGUUAAUUUGGUCCUAUCUUUUCUAUCAUUUUUUAGGAUGCCCCAAAGGGUGGUUAAGAAGUUCAUUAGCAUUCAAAGAAACUUUUUAUGGGGCAGAUCGAGAUGAGAGGAAGAAAGUUGCUUGAGUCAAAUGGGAUUUGGUUUGCCUUCCAAAAGAUCAAGAGGGUUUGGGAAUUAAACAUAUUAAGUUUUUUAACCAAGCUUUUCUUGGUAAAUGGAGGUGGAGGGCAUUUGUGGAAAAGGGUAGUAUGUGGUCCUUGAGUGUUGCACUCAAAAUAUGGUUGUGAUAAUGUGUUGAAUAUGAGAAGGAGCAUCCUGAAGGUCUCUACAUGGUGGAAGGACUUGGUAAAAGUUUGCGAGGAAAACAAUGAGGAACCUUGGUUUGAUAACAAUGUUGCUUGGAGGCUAGGCUGUGGGAAUGAGAUACAAUUUUGGAAUCACGCUUGGAUUAAUGAUAAGCCUUUGAAGGAAAGGUUCCCACAUAUGUAUUUGAAUAGUCAGCAAAAUGUUUGUGUUGUUAGGAGGGUAGUGUUUGGUUAUGGAAGCUUUGUUGGAGGAGCCCUUGGUUUGAAUGGGAAAACUUAACACUUUGCGAUUUUGUACAUGUUUAAAUUUUGUCACGUUGAAAAGGGAUUAUUUGGACUUUUUGUUGUGGAAAGGGGAUCCAACAAGUACUCAUAUUGUUAGCUUUGCAUACAAGUGCUUGUUGGAGCUCAAUUCUCACUCCCCAAAAGUGAAUCCCGAAUUUGUUAGUAUUGUAUAGGAAACAAAAAUGUCUUCAAAUGGGUCAUUCUUGGUGUGGAGGUUGAUUUAUGACAUGCUUCCAGCCAGGGUAAGCCUUAGGAGAAGGAACGUUUGAGGAUUGGAUGAUGGAGCUUCCUGCUAGUUCUCUAACAACGUGGAAAAAGUCUACAUAACACCUGCUUUUCCUUUUCCCAUUCACUCAAUUAGUUUGGUCUAGUUGUUAUAAUUUGUUUCCUUGCAUGAUUUUUAUUUUAUCGAUUUAAUUCGUAAAAGUAAAAAUUCUUCCUUUUGUUAACUAAAUCAUACACAAUUGAAUACGUCAUUUUACUUUAUUUGACAUUUAUUAGUGAAUUUAUCAACUAGUCUUAUUAAACACUUUCAAUUAAAUCAUAUAGCUUAUAAGCUUUUAGCAACACCUAGCAUAUGACUAUGUUCGAUAAGUCAUUUCAACUAGUUUCUAGCUUUUUUUACUAGCCGAAAAACUUGUUUGCCUGUUCGGUAGACAAAUUUUUUAAAGUAGCUUUUAGUGUUUUUUGAUAUACUACUUAGGCGGCAAAACUAGGUGAAAAACUAGCUCAAAGCUAAGAGAUUAAAACUAGUAAUUAGAAGCUUAAAAACUAACUAAUUAAAUUAUAAGUGUUCAGUAAAACUAGCCGCUGAAGUAGCUAAAAAGUGUAAAAUGACAAAAAAGAAAUAAAACCAUGAUUUAUUUUAAAAAGGUAAUAUGAAAAUUUGAUAAAUAUAUUCAGAAUAAAAGGGAAGACAAUAUAAAAAAUUAGAAGUCGAUCUGCAUUUUAAAAAAUAUUAUUUCAAAUAAAGUUUUAAAGAAUGCUAGAAGUUACUAAAAAGUUUUAUUUAUCAAACAGUCACACACUUUUCAGCUAGUAAAAAAAACUAGAAACUAACUGAAAUGUCUUGCCAAACAUAGUCAUGAAAUAGAAUUUUUUUAAAACCCUAACUUCUACCUUUUAUAUUUUAUUUUAUUUUUAUCCUUAAAAUAUUUAUUCAAUUUUUUUAUUAUCCUUUUCAAAUAUGUUAUUUUACAUUUUCUGGCCACCUCAAUAAUUAACUUUAUUAAACACUUAAGAUUUAAUGAACUAGCUUAAAAGUUUUUAGCUACCUGCUAGUUUUUUCCAAGCAUAGUUUAUAGCUUAUAGUUUAUUAGCCAGCUUAUCAACUAAUUUUUACCAAACAUAACCUAUAUAUAAAACUAUAAGAAGUGAUCAUGGUAGACAUUUUUAAAAUAAAAUUUAAAUUAUUUUAUGAUGAAUAUGUCAUUUCUUCUUUACUUGUAGAACUCUUCAACAAAUUAGGGUCUUGAUAGGUAGAUCAAGAUUACUCCUUCAAGUUUUAAGUAUAAGAAAAAAAAAACACAUUUUUUGUUUCAAUUAUAAGAAAAUUUCAAUUAACUUCAUCUUAUUAAAUACUACUAUAUCUAAAAUAUCUUUCAUUUAAUUGAAGUUUUAGUUUCAAUUAACUAAUCUUUUUUUAGAUGGUAUAUCAUAUUUUAUUUUCUUUUUAUAUUUGAGACUAAAAGAGAGUAUGUAAGGAAAUGGUAAUUGUUCCAGAUUGGUAGUUUAAGGAAAAGAAGGAAGAGAAAAAGUAAAAGAAUCUGACGUCUAAUAGUUCUGUUAGGAUUUUCGAGGGUGGACUAGAGGGAAAUACAAAACAAGAGACACAUAAUCUACACGAGUAGGAAGAAGAAUAAAAGAAAAGUAGAAAAUGAUUCAAAUAUUAAGACCACAUUGAUGGGGGACAAAGGAUAGACCCCAUAAGUAAGAAACAAUGUGUGGAUGGAUAAGCUAUUAAAUUUAGACACCCGUUUUGUUGGGUGUGAUGGAUUUGGUGAUGAUGACACAUGGCUUUGUAAUUGUAAAGGUGGGAAAACAAAUAUUACCGAGGAAGAAAGAGCAAAAUUCCUAGAGAUUUUAGUGUCAAACGGGGAAUAUUUAGGGUGGUGUAAAAGCUAGAAACGUGUUAGCUUCCAUAUCAUUGAGAAUAAGUUGAAACAUGAAUAGGCUUUGAAGGGUCAGAUUAAGAUUGUAGUUGUUCAUAAUAUUAUCAAGCUAGUUUUAUCCCUCAGAGGAAAAUUAAUGUGCUAAUGAUAUUGUAGUUUCUCAAGAAAUCUCCCACUCAAUGAGAAGCAAGACGGGAAACAUGGGCUGGAUGGUGAUAAAGGUUGAUCUAGAAAAGGCUUACGACAGACUGAAAUGGGACUUUGUGUGAGAUACCUUGAACGACAUUGGUUGCCAUCCUAAUUUUGUUUCGUUGGUAUGGAAUUGUAUUUCUUCACCUACUAUAUAUGUAGCAUGCUUUGAAACUGGGAAGCGUUGGAGGAGUUUCAGCCUAAGCGAGGGCUAAGACAAGGCGAUCCUAUCUCGCCUUACCUUUUUGUUUUAUGCCUAGAGUUAUCCAUACGAUUAAUCUAGUUGUGGGGAAGAAUCUAUGGAUGCCUAUUCAGAUCUCUAGAGGUGGCCUGACUUUUUCACAGCUAACCUUUGCAGACAACCUUUUUUUGUUUGCAGAGACAUCUGUUGUCUGGGUGGAUGUUAUCAACUAUGCUUUAAGGAACUUUUGUGAGAGUUCAGGAGCAAAAGUGAAUGAGGAAAAAAUAAGAAUUUUCUUUUUGAAAAAUGUAAAUUGGCAUAUCAAGGAGGAGACUUCAGCAGGCUUUGACUUUCAAUGCAAUGAAAACAUAGGAAAAUACCCUGGCGUGCCCAUUUUUCAUAAAACUGUUAGUUCCCAAACCUUCAACUAUGCGACUGAAAAAGUUGAUAAAAGACUUGACAGCUAGAAAUCUAAUCUUUUGUCUAUGGCUUGAAGUGUCACUCUGGCCCAAUUGAUGAUCCAAGCGUUGCCAACCUAUGUAAUGUAGAUAAAUUCCCUGCGAGCUGUGGUGGUGUGUGAGUCCAUCGACAAGAAGUGCAUGUCUUUUAUAUGGGGCGAUACUAUUGAAGCCCAUAAAAUUCACAUUGUUUCUUGGGAGAAUUUGUGCAUGGUGGGUUGGGACUAAGGUCAGCAUGAAGUAUAAACAAAGCUUACACGAUGAAGAUAGGUUGGAAGUUAAUCUCAAAGCGGCACACAGUUUGGGCAUCUCUUAUGCGCGCAAAAUAUAAGUGUGGAAAUGUGGAUAAACCAAAACAGAUUAAGUAUUAUGACAUUUUACUCUCAUCUUAGCUAAACCAAAACAGAUUAAGUAUUAAAAAAAAAAACAGAUUAAGCAACAUUGACCACGUAAACAAGCCGCUAGAUAUUGACAUAAAACAUAUUUAAUUUAACGUAUAAGAUUGGAUUAACUAAAAUUUUCCAAAUUAUCGUCAUUAAUUAAUCGGUUAAUAGUGGUCAUAAAUGAUGUUCACUUAUUAUAAUCAACGCUAAGAUAACACAUAAUUGAACCAAAAUCAACGCUUACAUAACACAAGUUUAAAAUAUAAGAGAAACUUAAUUAAACUUAUCUAAAAAUUAGCUAUACACUAUACUAUUGAUAAGUAAGAAUAUAAUAAAAAUCACCAUACUAUUGAUAAGUAAGAAAAUAAUAAAAAUUUAUUUUAAUUUAUCUGUAAGAAUCUAAAAUAGUAUUAAAAAAUUUACAACAAUCAACACAUCAUAUUCAACUAAUUGAGUUAGAUUUCAUUAACAAUAAAAAUUUAGAUUAAUUAUUUGUACAAUAAGUCUUACGUCUUAUUUUGACUAGAUUUGUUUAUUAAAAAAUUCACAUAAAUUUUAUGCAAUGAUCGAUAAAAGUAAGUUUAAAAAAUUUGUUAGAAAAUCUACUAUUAAAAUUUGUUAUCACCCGUCGGGUAUCGGAUGCCCCGUCCUCGUUCCGUUCUCGGUUCAGAUUUGUAAAAAAAUUAUAUUGAAAAUCUGAUUUAAAAAAAUUGAUUGUUAUACAUUUAUUUUUAACUACUUGUAUUUGCAGCACAUUUGUCUACAAAAAUCAUCAAAAAUAUAAUCUUGAAUUAUGUAAAAAUUAUAAAAACAUUAACCAGUAAUUAAUCAAAUUUUAAUAAUUUCAUCACCAGAAACGGAUACAGGAAUGGAUAUGAGACGGAUAGUGACAUCUUCAUUUUGACCCCAAUCAAUUCAAGUAUUUUUCAUCAAAAUUGAGAGGAUAUUUAUGGAUACGAAUUUCAUUAUUGCCAUUCCUAAUUUUAAGAUGACAAGUGGCAGUUUCUCCUACGAAAUGUACGAACCUUUUUUUGUUAGACUUGCAAGAUAGAGAAGAAAAUGCGUUUGCCUAUAGUUUCGGGAGUGUGAUUGACCCAUGUGGGUCCUUUUUAAAAACUUUUUAUCAAAAUGAAUUUGUCCUAAAACGUAUUACUGUCAUGGGUUUGUUUUUGACCAAGGUUAACCAGAAAAAUUGACUUAUUAUUUUGAUUCCACGUAAUUCUUUGCAAAACAAAAAGUAAAGGAAAAGAGUAUGUGGCAUUCACAUAAACCAACCAUUUCAAUUUGCGUUUUUAACUAUGCAAAUUUCGUUACCAAAGCUGGAUUUGUUAGACAUAAUAAAUGAUCAAUGAGAAACAGCAAAAUGGGAUUGCUGUUCAAGGUGGUACAAGCAAACAGCAGGCCGAAAUUGCUGGAUCAUGAACACACGGAAGCAGCGCUGUGAACCGCAACACGUAUUUGCUGGUUCUAGUUUUUUUUAAAUGUUUAUUUUUAAUUUUUUAUAUACUUUAUUGUUAUUAUAGAAUUUACUUAUUUAUAAUAUGUGUAUUGUUUAAUAUUUUAUAUUUUUUGUUAUUAUAGAACUUGAAGAUGUGCAAAUAAACUUUUUUUUUUUACAUCAAUUAUAAUUAGAACCAAUACUGCAUCAACUUUUACAUCUAUUGUAAAAUAUCUGAUGUAAAAAUCUGGCAUAAAAUGUUAUUUUUGUAGUAGUGGAAAUCCCACACUAUAUAAAUAGAAAUCAUCCUAAGUAAGCUAAGUGUUGACCAAUGAUGCAUCCCACAGUAUUCCAUGCCCUGCAUUACGCCGACUUGCUAUCCUUCCUACAUUCCUAUUCAAUCUGCCAACUACAAACUUCAAAAAUAUGAAUCCCCAUGAAUCAAAAAUUAAUUUUAGGGUGUGUACCUUCCAUGAUAUGAUCACCAUAUGAACUGCUUUAAGUUUCAAACGUGCUCUUAGCAGCUUUCGGGCACCUCCUUAAAGUUUUCGGCACGGUCCUAGUAUUUUUCAACUACCUUCUUGAAGGUUAACUUUGGCGUCGCAUAAUGAACUUCUCUUACUUUCUUAUGUUUAUUCUCAUGUCUUCCAUUAUGUUUAUGUUUAUUUUGACUGCACUAAUUUGUUUAUAAACCUCAAAGGGUGCGUUGUGAAUGGCUAAGACCAUGUGUGGUUGCGACUGAAACUACGCACACAAGCAGUGAACCAUUGUUCCUACACUAUACUGAAAACUCUCAAUUAGCUUGGUAACAUAUGUUUCACUGGAGGCUUGCCACGCGGAGGAAUUCAGAUAUAUAUAUCAUGUGAGAUUCCCUUAACUCAGUACCAUGCACGAUUCAACUUAGUUAUCAUGUAACCCCUUAGUUAACUCGGUAACCUAGCUAGGUCCAUACCCAAUUUAGUACCAUGGUCUGGCUCAAAUUUAAGCCUCUUCGCUUUAUUAAGCUUGAGGUUAAAAGAUUGUGUACCUUUUUAACUUGGUAUCUGAGGUUCAUAUUUGACCUUGGUAUGAGGUUCAUACUUUAACUUUGAGAGUUGCUUAAGUAGUUUUAAGGUUGCGUUAAUGUACUAAGUCAAAGCAUGAAAACUUGCUUGGAUACCACCCUCACAUUUGCGUUCGUUGAAAUAGCCAUCGAGAAUUAAUCCCUUUUAAAGAUGUAAUUUUUCACUUUUGGGAUUUCACAUUACUUAUCACGCAUCUCCCCCUAAAUUGGGAGGAACCAGUACACACACAAUUGGAUAAAAAUUACCUCCAUAGAGUGUGGAAGGGGUUGAGAACACACCGUGGGCAAUAUAACGAAGGCAACACAACCAUAAAAAAUACUUUUAACAUCGUUUGUCUUAAAAAUGAUGUAAAAAAAAAAAACACGAUGACAAGUUAGUUUUUUAAAAAUCGAUACUGAAAUUAGUUUUUCAACAUCUUUUUAUUGUAAAAGGGUUGUUGAGCUAGAUUAUAAACCUUUUCAUUUUCUUCCUGUCUUUUGAAUUUCUUGUGGUUCGGUCCAUUUUGGAGUGACAUUGCUCGCUAGGCUUAGAUUCUCGUGUGGCAUCACGAGAAACAAUUUGAAUCUCCAUAUUCUUCCUGUCUUUUGAAUUUCUUAUGGUUAGCGUGUUGUAAAUGAAGAAUUUUGAGGUGUCAUGGAAUGUGACUAUCUUUGGGGAGAACGAUCACGGUUUUUUCCUAUACAUAAAUUCCAAUGAUCUAGAGGAAAUAGGAUACGGCAAUUUUUUUUAAUCGAUGUUAAAGGAGUUUUUCUUUUAGAAGUACCAGAAACCUAAAAAGAGAUUGAUGGGCUUCUGUCACACCCUAAAUCAGUCCCGAAGGAAAAGAGUAAAAAAAAUUAACAAAAAGAAAAAAAACAUAAACACAAAAAAAAGAAAAAAAAAAGAAACAAAAGAGAGAGAAAACGUGAAAAAAAACAAAAGAACAAUAUAAAGAAGAAGAAGAAGAAAUAUAUUGUGUGAUCUAUUGGGCUCUUAAAGAGAACCCAUUAGGUGAAGAGACAACAAUGUGCAUACAAAUUAAAAAAAGGAAGGUCUUUGGAAUUAAAGCACAAAGGAGCAUAGAUCUUGGGAAAAGAAAACGAAUCAAUCCGACGACGUCAUUUGACAAGCUUUGUCAUAGAAGAGAGAGUGAUCAUCAGUUAAUCCAUCAUUUCCUCACUCUCUCAUGCUUUCUUCUCACAUUUCCUUUCUUCUUCUUCUACUAUGUUUUCCUAUUCUUUUGUUUCUUUUUUUACCAAAUUUGAAAAAUGUUUAUAUUCCAAAGAGAAAGGAUAGACAAAAUGUUUAGGACAAAUACUAGAUCUCUAUGAAGAAUUUGUGCGAAGAUGGGACUCGAGCUUCUUGUUGCGGUUGUUAGUGAGUUGCAUGAUGCCAUAGCUUGUGAUGCCCGGAAUGACGAUGCAUGCGGUGGCGAAUGCAAGGAAGAAGGGUUUAGAUUCCUGGGUCCUUCGCACGAUCUGAUUUUAUCCCAUUACCAUCUUUCUCUUUCCCUUGCCACCCUUCACCUUCGCUGUUAUUUACACCCUGUAUUUUAAUACAUGCAUCCCAUUUUAUGUUUUGGGCCUAGCCCAUUUUUGUACAAAUUUGAAAAAAAAUUUGAAAUUACUAUUUACACUGUCUUUUCUUACAAAUGCACUUUUUAUUUUGGGCCUAGCCCAUUUUAGUAAAGUGUGAAAUAAAAUGAACACCACUAUUUACAUCCUUUUUUCAACACAUGCACUUUUUUCAUUUUGGGCCCAACCCAUUUUCUUUAAGUCCGAGAUAAAAUGAAACUAAUGAAUACACCCCUUCUCUAUAUAUGCACCCCUGCCACUUAGGAUGGUGGUUAGACCGGUAUGUCAGCACUCCGUCAGUGUUGAUUAAGUCAAUGUCAACCUUUUGAUUUUGAAAAAAAUUAAAAAAUAGAUAAAUAAAAACAAUUUUGCAUAUUAGUGAAUGACUCUUUAUUUUAUUGUAUUUUUUUUAUUGUCUUUAUCGUUUAUUCUUCAAUGAGAUUUUAUUGUUAUCAUUGUCUAACUAAUUAGUUUAAUUAAUAAUGUAUUGUAAAUAUCUCGUUAUUCAUCUUAUUUCCCCCAUGUUUUUAUCCUGCAUCCUUAAUUAUUAAGUGUACUUCACACUACUAGUCUAUCUCUUUCUAUUCCCAUUCUAUGUAUCUGAUUUCAUGACACUAUGUCAAUUAUUUAUUUAUUUUUAUAAAUCCACAUUAACAUUCUUUAGUACACCCUUACAUUAUGUGCACUCCAUGCUAGAUCUCCGACUUGCUUGGUGGUGUUUCAAUAAUGUGAGUAAAUUUUUGAACAUCAUGUUGAGUCUCCAACUUGCAUGAGUUCACAAAGGUUAUCACAAACCUAAAUUUUUUUUUGAAAAAUAUAAAAUUCUCAAAUAAAUGAUCACUCAAUUCUCCUUUUUCAUGUUCCUCGCAUUUCAUGUUGAAUUUCCGACUUGCUUGACAGUGUUUCAAUAAAGUGUGAGUAAAUUUUGUGAAUGUCAUGAUGGGUCUCUGACUUGUUUGACUUCACAAAGUUUACCACAAAAUCAAAAUCUUUAAGUAAUAAUAAUAAUAAUAAUAAAAUCAAUCCAACACACAAGCUAUUUUUCUACAAAGAACUACAUAAGUUUGAUUUUCUCAUUAUACUUGAAGAUAAUAAGAGCAAGGACAAACACCUUGUCAACCUAAAAAAGUUAAAAAAAAAACAUAAAAUUUCUUCUUUUUUUCCAAAAAAAUAAAAAUAAAAAUAUUAUUUUCUUUAUUUUCUAAAUAAACAAAAAAAAUACAACAAAUAUAAUGCAUGUCUUCAAGGGAAAAUAAAUAAUUAAGAACUCAUUUUAUUUUUAGCACACUCAAUUAAAGACUAUCGUUUUCAUGACCGACGUGUGAGGUGUUAACAUCUUUCCGGUGUGUAAAUGACUCUCAAUUUUUUUUUCUCAAAUCGUAGACCAUUCAUUAUUUUAUUUUUAUUUUCUAGAUGUUUUUCUUAAAUAAAUGGUUGUGAUGAUUCCCUAAAUAAGUUUUCCAUUUUUUUUUUGGAAACAUUUUGUUUAUCUAAUUUUUUAUUUCGGUGUCACGUCGCGACCGGACAACUUCAAUGUUUUGAUGCUUAGUUAUCUUAAGUAUCGAUCUAGAGGUGACUUAUGACCGGAACAUAUUCUUUUUCUUGUUUGUAAUUUUUUGUCAGGAAAUGAAUUAAGCAACAGAAAAAGAAAAAUAUGUUACUUUCAGUACUGUUUCCUUAAAAAGUUGAAAUAAAAAACCAAAUUGUCGAUGACGUUAUUUUAACUAAAUAUAAAAAAAAGAACUUCCUUUUGUUAUAAUUUUAUAUUUGUUAAAAAAAUGUUUUGUGAAAAAAAAAAGAUUCGGGAAAUAUAAUAAUUAUAUAUGACAGUGCGGCGGAGUUUGAUUAUUUGAAGAUUCAAAUUAAGGAUAAGGAUAAAAUUAGAGUAAUAUAAUUUAAUUAUACUAAAUUAUUAAUUAUAUGGUUAAAUUAUUUUAUUAUAUAGUCUUAUUUAAUAUUUAAUACUAAUUUUUUUAUAAUAUAAUAAUACUGUAAAAAAUUCUUAUAUUAAUAUUUAUAGAAUUUUAUAUUAUUCAAUUUAUUAUAUAAUUAUAAUUUAUUAAUUAAAUUAAUCAAAAUAAUUUUAUAUAAAAUUGUUGAUGAUAUAGAAGUUUAGUGUAAGUGUAAGUUAUAAUUUGUUAUCUCUUUAUGCCAAAUACCCAGGAAAAGUAUGAAUACUUUCGAAUUUCAAUGCGAUAGCUGUUCUUCUACUCCUUAUUAUUAUUUAUUUAUUUAUCUUUUUGACUGCAUGAUAAAGAAAAUUAUUAUUUAUUUUUAACUUUUGAGACACCACGAGUCUUUGACUUUGAAUUUGAACCAUUCACGACGAAAGAAUACCCACCAAUGUGUUAGGGGUUUGGUUUAUUUAUUGAUUUAUUUUGAAUAUAAAGUUACUUAAAUUCAACAUGAUAAAUAUUAUAUACAAUUAAGUUGAAUUCAAUUUUUAAAGUAGGAAUCAAUAAUCAAAUUUAAUACUAAUAACUUAUUGAUUCAAAUAAUAUUGAACUUUUUUUUAAGUAAAGUUUAAAAUUCGAGUAUUAUGAAUAAAGAAAAUAUGAUUAGGAGGGAGAACCCUACUUAAAAUAAUCAGGAAAAUUUCAACAAAAAUUAAUCAUCAGUAAAAUCGGUAGAUAUUUCAUACAAAUAGCAUAAUUAAAAAAAAAUCAAACUUAAUUUAUUACUUUUUAUUUGUUUGAAAAUUUAAAAUAAUUUAAUUUGGUUUUGAAGACAUUUCUCCCCAACUUUACUGAAUGUGUGAGGAGAAAAUUAUAAGAUAAAAUAAUAACUAUACUAAAACAAUAAUAUGACAGUAUCAUAAAAAUAUUAAAAAUAUAUAAGUUAUGAUAAUUAAAAUAACAUAGAGAAAUAAAAUUUUAAUAAAAAUAUAUAUAUAAUUUAAUAGUUAUAUUAUGAAUUUUAAAUUAUUAUUCAACCAUAAAUCAUCAUUAAUAUUAAUAUGAUGGGUUUUAAUUUUAACGGCAUAUAAAAAAACAUUUUUUUUGAACUAUAUAGUAUCCACUUUGUGAUUAUUAGGCCUCAUCAGAACUGUCUAUUAAUAUUAUCUGUCAAGACAUGUUCUUGUAUAUAUAUAAAAAUAUAAGACCAGCUGAUACUGUAUAAGUAUAUUAAUAGUCUAAGGGGGCUGCUAAUAGUAGUACGACUGGACAAAAGUUGAGUAAAUAUUGACUGUUUGAGGCCACAUGGUUGUCAUUCAUGAGUUUUUGUUAAUUUAAAAUUCCACCAUACAUUAUGACAAAGUGUUAUAUAAAGGUCACUUCGCAUGCUACAUAUUGCACCACUCAAAUAUCAUAAACACUAAUCACUAGUAAUAGUGAUUAAUUUCCCAGUAAGUAAUAACAUCACAUCACAGUAUAGUCUUUGGUGCAACAAUCAAGUACUCAUCAGCAUGGGAAUGUUGUUGUUGUUGUUGUCUUACUCUCUCCUUUUCCUGGUUCUAUUCCUUACACUGAAAUCCCUUUUCCAAAGAAGAAAAUUGAGAAACCUACCACCAGGUCCUCCUCCUCUUCCCAUAAUAGGUAACCUUAACCUCCUCGAACAACCUAUUCACCGUUUCUUCCAACGCAUGUCCAAAGAAUAUGGAAACAUCGUUUCCCUUUGGUUCGGUUCACGUCUCGCCGUUGUCAUUUCCUCACCAACAGCAUACCAAGAAUGCUUCACCAAACACGACGUUGCCUUGGCCAACCGGCUACCUUCUCUCUCGGGAAAAUACAUAUUCUACAACAACACCACCGUAGGGUCCUGCUCCCACGGGGAGCACUGGCGGAACCUCCGCCGCAUCACCGCCCUGGACGUCCUCUCCACGCAGCGAGUCCACUCUUUCUCCGGAAUCCGAAGCGACGAGACGAAAAGGUUGGUACAGAGGUUGCUGGCCAAGAACUCCAAGGAGGGUUUUGCGCGCGUGGAGAUAAGCUCCAUGUUCAAUGACUUGACCUACAACAACAUCAUGAGGAUGAUAUCAGGGAAGAGGUUUUACGGAGAGGAGAGUGAGUUGAAGAACGUUGAGAAAGCGAGGGAGUUCAGAGAGACAGUGACAGAGAUGCUAGAACUCAUGGGGGUGGCUAAUAAGGGAGAUCACUUGCCAUUCCUAAGGUGGUUCGAUUUUCAGAAUGUGGAGAAGAGGUUGAAGAGUAUUAGUAAAAGGUAUGAUACCAUCUUGAAUGAGAUCAUUGAUGAGAACCGUAGCAAGAAGGACCGUGAGAAUUCCAUGAUUGAUCAUCUCCUCAAACUGCAAGAGACUCAGCCUGAGUACUACACUGACCAAAUCAUCAAAGGCCUUGCUUUGGUAAUUAUUUUAUUUCAUUAUCAUGAAAAUUAUUUUGUUAAUUUGCUAGUAAUUUCUUGUGUUAUAUAUCUGAUCACCUAGUGAAAAAUUAAGAGAGAAAGCAUGGCAAGGUGUUUUAUAACAUGUCUAUAUAAGAGCUUGAUUGUUUUUUAAAAUAAAAUUGUACUGAAUCAAAUACAGGUAUAGCUAGAAUAGAAGCAAUAUAUUCUUGCGGUUUUAAUUAUUGUUCAGCAGAUAGGGACCACAUUCUUGGUGACAACAUUCAGUUGUAUUCUUGGAGUUCGUUGAAGUCAAAACUAUUUUCUAAUUGUUGCUUUUCAUGACUGGUGUUGCAAUCUGUUAUAUUAUAUUAAUAUGCAUGUGGUUGUUUUAUUUGACUUCAUGCAUGACUGUAUUUGGGUUAGAUUUUUCCUUAUAGUCCCUUUAAUAUUUUCUUUUGCGGCUAAUAUUAAUAAAAAUGAAGUAUGAUAAAAAUCCAUGAGAAAUUAAUGAUUUGAAAGUAUAAUAAUUUCAAUAAUUUUGAUUUUUCCAACCUUAAUAUUUUAAAUUCAUAAUAAUUGAUUUAGUACUUUUAUCACUUUCCUCCUCUUCCCAACUUAUUUAUUUUUCUUCCAAAAGAGAGUGGUUUUAUUUCAUUGUAAUUUAAUUUAAAAUGACAUGAUAUGCUCUACCAAUGUAUUUUUUAACACUUCAUAUGGGAUUUUGGAUUGCAGGCCAUGCUUUUUGGCGGAACUGACUCGUCAACUGGAACUUUAGAGUGGUCAUUAUCUAAUUUAUUGAAUUAUCCAGAGGUGUUGAAGAAAGCAAAAGACGAAUUGGACACACAAGUAGGGCAAGACCGCUUGUUAAAUGAGUCAGACCUGCCAAAACUUCCUUAUCUUAGAAAGAUCAUCCUUGAGACACUUAGGUUGUAUCCCCCAGCUCCAAUUCUAAUACCUCAUGUUUCUUCAGAAGAUAUUACUAUUGAAGGAUUCAAUGUCCCACGAGACACAAUUGUGAUCAUUAAUGGUUGGGGCAUGCAGAGAGAUCCUCAGUUAUGGAAUGAUGCUACAUGCUUUAAACCUGAGAGGUUUGAUGUGGAGGGAGAGGAGAAAAAGUUGGUAGCAUUUGGGAUGGGAAGAAGGGCUUGUCCAGGAGAACCCAUGGCUAUGCAAAGCGUCAGCUUUACUUUAGGAUUGUUGAUUCAAUGUUUUGACUGGAAAAGAGUUAGUGAGGAAAAACUUGAUAUGACAGAGAAUAAUUGGAUCACCUUAUCAAGGUUGAUUCCGUUGGAGGCCAUGUGCAAAGCUCGCCCACUUGCCACUAAAAUUUGAAGUUUGUAAUAUAUAGUAUUUUUAUUUGGUAAACUUGGGUGAUCGAGAAUCUAAUUACUUAUAGUUACAGUGUGUAAGUGAUUGUCUUAUACGUGUUAAAAUUAAAAAAUAUUUAUUGUAUGUCGGCAAGGCCAAUUGUAGAAUUGGGUGUGCAUUAUAUCAAUAUUGUAUGCAUCCAUAAUUUCUUGAAUAAAUUUCCUUACGUUUUAUUCAAUAUGAUGAUUCAUAGUACUUAUGAAAAAGAGAUUUUUCCUUUGCUUUCUCUCAGUAUUGGUGUUGCUUGGAUGAAUUAAGAACCGAUUAUGAUGUUAGCUAUUAAAGAGUUGUCUAAGUUUGAACGAAUAAGUCAAAGCCUCGCAUAUGGCAACAGAUCAUAGGAUCGAAAAAAAAUGAGUUUCUUGAGUUGCCUUUAAAGAUGAGGAUCUCCAUUUCAAGAGCUUUUCCUGUAUCAGUUUUAAAAUUGCAAUUUUUAUGACUCGAUUUCUUUUGUAUCGAGUCAAGAGUUCCUUCAUGAAUUUGACAUAGAUAGACAUUUGCUCCAAUCUUAUCUUUGCGGUUGUCAUUUUUUUUUUCGCCUUAGAUCACAAAGCCAUCUUCAAAAGUGUUUUCCCUAUUUCCAAACAUUUAGCUAGAGGGACUAAAUUAGCUCUUGCAGUCAUUGUUUGAUCAAGAGUUUAUAGAUAUUGGAGUUUACUGACAAAAUUGUCAUAAGGUUUGAUUACUUUUCUUAUUUUUCAAACACAACUAAACUGUUAAUCUACACAACAUUUAAUUUCAAAAGAGAGCAAUGGUUCUAGAACGGGGAAUGCGAAUUGGAAUUCAAUUAGUUGUGGUAAAAGCUAUUUGGGUUGAGUUGGUGGAUUGAGUACGGGAACUUGCAGUGUUAGCCAUAGUUGACAUCAGUUUCGUUGGUCAUAGUCCGAAACUAUAACAUUAGUUUAGCAUUUGUUAAGUGGACGCUAAACAUGGUGCCAAUAGGUGGCAUUUACCAAAAACAUAGACACACUACUACUUAGCUUCUGGCUUUUAAGCAUUGAAUCAAAGGCAGAUGUAAAGUGGAUGCUAGUGUCUAUUUAGUGUUUGUUUUUAUGUGUUAACACAAGCUUUUAGCCAAUAACAGAAAAUCAUUUUAAAAACUUGUCUAUAAAUACUAAAAAAUCUAGUAUUAACAAUGUGCAUGUUGUACAUAUUUUCUUAGUAAAUUAAUAUAUUUUUUAGUUAUACCUAUAAAACUAAAACAAGGUUUAAAGAAACAAUUAAUAUUCCAAAACAGAGUCAGCAAGUGUGUAUUUUUGUUCUACAAUUUUGAAUGUGUAAACCCUAGACAAUAAUGUAACAAAUAAAAACCCAUUGUGAAAAAUAUAAAGAUAAACUUUAAAUCUGAAUAAUAACUCUCUUUAAUUAAUUAUCCUUUUUUCUAAAUUAGAAUUAAAUAGACUAUGUUUCAUUGAGAAUUGGACGUUUAAUUAAAUUAAGAAUUGAUACUUUUGUUGUUUUUGCUCUCAUGUUAUCAGAGAAAAAGAAUACAAAAAAUAUAAUAUAUUUACUGGUAAUCUUAGAUUUUUAGUUUUUAAGAAAAAACAUAAAAAGAGAAAACUAACAAAUUAAGCCUAUAAAAAAAAUAACAAAUUAAAAUUUUUAAUCCACUAACUAAUAUUUUUUGGGAAAGAUCUUCCAACUUAUAUAAGUUGACUUAAUAAUUAAGAAAUGAUGAAGAGAGAAGGAACGAGAGAAAAAUUACGAAUUCAAAUUUUUAGUAAAAUUAAUAAAUUACCAUUAUUGAUAAAAAAAAACAUAAAAAAUGUUAAAAUAAUUCAAAUCCAUUGCAAAAACAUAUAUCCAACAUGGUCCAGUUUAAAAUAUCACUAUAUAUGACUAUGAACAUCAUCUACCAAGACUGAACCCUCUAGAGAGUCAAUGAUAACUGAUAAGACUAAUUAAAUAACAUCUAGAAUGAUGCCCUAUCUUCCCUUUGAAUAUUGGUAUACGAUUUCCCUUUUGACCAAUGGGAUACCUUGUCCAAAGACCAAGAGUUUCGGGUUCAGCUUUCUGAGUAAAAAAGCGGCAACAUGUUCAUGUACUAUACUUGAUGCAUUGAACAUUAUGGCCUUCUGCACGUACCCCAACCACCGCAGCCAUAUUUGUAAACAUUUAACAACAAUCACUUUCAUAGAGAGAGAGUACAUUCUGGGCUUCUUUGGUAAAUAUUUUAAUUAAAUAAAUAUUUAUUACAUAGGUCUUUAUGUACGUACUACUAUAAGUUAUUUUUCUAACUGAAUAAGCAUUUUCAUAUAUACAUAUAUACAAAUACUAAUGUUAUAAAAUAAGUUCAAAUAAAUUGUAAAUGAAGAUUUUAAAACAUAACUUUAGUACUUGAUUUUAAAUUUUUGUAAUGGAAUUAAUCAAAAGAAAAUAAUUUUUUUUCUAUUUUUACUCAUUCCUCAAAAAGUUUAAAUAAAAAAAUAAAGCAUGUUAUUUGUGUAAUUAUGGUUGAAAUUAUUUUAACUGAAAAUAAAUAAUAAAAAACGACUUCCUUUUGUAGUUAAUUUAUAUUUCAUAAAGUGAAUUUUUGGAUACCAAAACACAAGAGAAAUAUGAAAAUUAAUAACAUCUAAAAUUUUAUAACUGUAUAUUUGAAUUUAAAUUUAUUUGAUAGACAAAUAUGUUAUAUUUAUUGUGGUCUGUGGAUAGUUUUGACUGAUAAUAAGCGAUGAAUUUGAAUGGGAUUCCCUUCCCAACUCUCCGAUCCGAAGAUAGUUUUGACUGAUAAGCGAUGAACUUGAACGGGAUUCCCAUCUCUGAAUCGUACGUAGAACUAGAAAUAAUAAUGGUGGCCCUUUCAGGAUUAUAGUCAAUUUUUUUUCACUAAAUAAAGUAUAAUUUAAUUGUUUACGUAACGUAGAACAGCUCGGUGGCGUUUGAUUAUUUGAACAUCAAAACAUCAAAAUUGACUCGAGAUCUAAGUUAAGAAAAGUAAGAUUUUGUUGAGGUAUAUAUAAAAGAAAUAUCAAUAUAUAUAAAAAUAAUAUGCUAUUCAGUUUGCUUAAUUUCUUGAAUUUUCAGCCCUUAUUUAAUUUGCUUUUCAUUUUUAUUUAUCGACAUCAAAAUUUAAUACGGUUUCAUCGUAAUAAUUGAAAACAAACCACAUUAAAAAAAAGAGAGUAUAAAAGUGCAUGAUAAUUGAUAAUAAAAAAGGGCUGCUAUUCUGCUAGACAAAAGUUGAGUAAAAUAAUCUAAAUCUAUACGAAUAUUAUAAAAAAGGGCUGCUAAACAUUAGAAUGAGAAGUGGACAAAAUUCAAGUCAAAUAUUGUACUAAAAAAACACUGCGGGUUUGACGGCACGUUAUGCCUCAAGUAUUAUAUAAAGCUCGUUCGCAUGCAACAUAUUGCAAUCCUCAUAACUGCACUAUCACACACAUAGUUCUCUUAUCUGGUGCAAGUGCAACAAUCAAGUACUCAUCAGCAUGGGAAUGUUGUUGUUGUUGUUGUCUUAUUCUCUCCUUUUCCUGGUUCUAUUCCUUACACUGAAAUCCCUUUUCCAAAGCAGAAAAUUGAGAAACCUACCACCAGGUCCUCCUCCUCUUCCCAUAAUAGGUAACCUUAACCUCCUCGAACAACCUAUUCACCGUUUCUUCCAACGCAUGUCCAAAGAAUAUGGAAACAUCGUUUCCCUUUGGUUCGGUUCACGUCUCGCCGUUGUCAUUUCCUCACCAACUGCAUACCAAGAAUGCUUCACCAAACACGACGUUGCCUUGGCCAACCGGCUACCUUCUCUCUCGGGAAAAUACAUAUUCUACAACAACACCACCGUAGGGUCCUGCUCCCACGGCCAGCACUGGCGGAACCUCCGCCGAAUCACCGCCCUGGACGUCCUCUCCACGCAGCGAGUCCACUCUUUCUCCGGAAUCCGAAGCGACGAGACGAAAAGGUUGG
rnacentral:lncRNA from 1 species